AAGCACGAAACUCAGACUAAGAUGAGACUUCCUUUAAGGGUCGUUCAAGACUAGGACGUUGAUAGGCUGCAGGUCUAAAGACAGUAAUGUCAAAGCCGAGCAGUACUAAUUACCCGUAAACUUUCUUCUU
rnacentral:rRNA from 1 species